UAUAGGGGUUAGUGGCGACGGGUGAGUAACACGUGGGCAAUCUGCCCUGCACUCUGGGACAAGCCCUGGAAACGGGGUCUAAUACCGGAUACUGAUCCGCCUGGGCAUCCAGGCGGUUCGAAAGCUCCGGCGGUGCAGGAUGAGCCCGCGGCCUAUCAGCUUGUUGGUGAGGUAGUGGCUCACCAAGGCGACGACGGGUAGCCGGCCUGAGAGGGCGACCGGCCACACUGGGACUGAGACACGGCCCAGACUCCUACGGGAGGCAGCAGUGGGGAAUAUUGCACAAUGGGCGAAAGCCUGAUGCAGCGACGCCGCGUGAGGGAUGACGGCCUUCGGGUUGUAAACCUCUUUCAGCAGGGAAGAAGCGAAAGUGACGGUACCUGCAGAAGAAGCGCCGGCUAACUACGUGCCAGCAGCCGCGGUAAUACGUAGGGCGCAAGCGUUGUCCGGAAUUAUUGGGCGUAAAGAGCUCGUAGGCGGCUUGUCACGUCGGUUGUGAAAGCCCGGGGCUUAACCCCGGGUCUGCAGUCGAUACGGGCAGGCUAGAGUUCGGUAGGGGAGAUCGGAAUUCCUGGUGUAGCGGUGAAAUGCGCAGAUAUCAGGAGGAACACCGGUGGCGAAGGCGGAUCUCUGGGCCGAUACUGACGCUGAGGAGCGAAAGCGUGGGGAGCGAACAGGAUUAGAUACCCUGGUAGUCCACGCCGUAAACGGUGGGCACUAGGUGUGGGCAACAUUCCACGUUGUCCGUGCCGCAGCUAACGCAUUAAGUGCCCCGCCUGGGGAGUACGGCCGCAAGGCUAAAACUCAAAGGGAAUUUGACGGGGGGCCCGCACAAGCGGGCGGGAG
rnacentral:rRNA from 1 species